UACGUAGGGUGCAAGCGUUGUCCGGAAUUAUUGGGCGUAAAGAGCUCGUAGGCGGUUUGUCGCGUCUGCUGUGAAAACCCGAGGCUCAACCUCGGGCCUGCAGUGGGUACGGGCAGACUAGAGUGCGGUAGGGGUGACUGGAAUUCCUGGUGUAGCGGUGGAAUGCGCAGAUAUCAGGAGGAACACCGAUGGCGAAGGCAGGUCACUGGGCCGCAACUGACGCUGAGGAGCGAAAGCGUGGGGAGCGAACAGG
rnacentral:rRNA from 1 species